UGAUUUCGUCCGUAUUUGUCCAGCCAAGU
rnacentral:sRNA from 1 species